UACGUAGGGCGCAAGCGUUAUCCGGAAUUAUUGGGCGUAAAGAGCUCAUAGGCGUUUGUCGCGUCUGCCGUGAAAGUCCGGGGCUCAACUCCGGAUCUGCGGUGGGUACGGGCAGACUAGAGUGAUGUAGGGGAGACUGGAAUUCCUGGUGUAGCGGUGAAAUGCGCAGAUAUCAGGAGGAACACCGGUGGCGAAGGCGGGUCUCUGGGCCGAUACUGACGCUGAGGAGCGAAAGCGUGGGGAGCGAACAGG
rnacentral:rRNA from 1 species